rnacentral:rRNA from 2 species
AUACAUGCAGUCGAGCGAACAGAUAAGGAGCUUGCUCCUUUGACGUUAGCGGCGGACGGGUGAGUAACACGUGGAUAACCUACCUAUAAGACUGGGAUAACUUCGGGAAACCGGAGCUAAUACCGGAUAACAUAUUGAACCGCAUGGUUCAAUAGUGAAAGGCGGCUUUGCUGUCACUUAUAGAUGGAUCCGCGCCGUAUUAGCUAGUUGGUAAGGUAACGGCUUACCAAGGCAACGAUACGUAGCCGACCUGAGAGGGUGAUCGGCCACACUGGAACUGAGACACGGUCCAGACUCCUACGGGAGGCAGCAGUAGGGAAUCUUCCGCAAUGGGCGAAAGCCUGACGGAGCAACGCCGCGUGAGUGAUGAAGGUCUUCGGAUCGUAAAACUCUGUUAUCAGGGAAGAACAAAUGUGUAAGUAACUGUGCACAUCUUGACGGUACCUGAUCAGAAAGCCACGGCUAACUACGUGCCAGCAGCCGCGGUAAUACGUAGGUGGCAAGCGUUAUCCGGAAUUAUUGGGCGUAAAGCGCGCGUAGGCGGUUUUUUAAGUCUGAUGUGAAAGCCCACGGCUCAACCGUGGAGGGUCAUUGGAAACUGGAAAACUUGAGUGCAGAAGAGGAAAGUGGAAUUCCAUGUGUAGCGGUGAAAUGCGCAGAGAUAUGGAGGAACACCAGUGGCGAAGGCGACUUUCUGGUCUGUAACUGACGCUGAUG